GAGAGUAGCAAAGGGAAGGAGACGGAAGAGAAGAGAGGGCACGGCGGCAUUAGGUACCCUCGUCCACCCUCGAUCCCAACCUUUUUACACGGGCCACAGUAUAGAGAGAGAGAGAGAGAGAGAGGAGGGAGAGUACAUGGACCCAUUCCUAGAUGCCGUAUCUUCGAAUUAGAGCGGGACACAAGGAGACUUAGCUGACACGCGCAACUAAAUAAACCGUCGCUACCGAGCAGAUACAGGCUACAGCAGCAGGCCCCGCAGCUAAGAUAUCUCCAUGUCCUCAACUGCCAGAAGGCGCUAAGUUGAUACUUCCUUACCCCGCUAACGAAGUAGUAAUCUAUUUUCUUUAUCGUCUGGGACGGUUGUCCUUUUAUUCUGGCUUAGAAGGUCUCGAUACGAGACCAUUAUACCUGAUACGAGGAAUACUUUAAGAGACUUUAAGUCCGAACUUAUGAUACAAUACUACGUCUUAGUAGAUUAGUAGAGUUGUGAACCGAAGUAGGAAGACCCCCUACACGUUUGCUCAAACUCCGGGACACAGUAGGUCUUCCUUGGUACAACACUAAAGGGUAGACGCGAUUACGAGCUAGAAAGUUCGCACUGACAACCUGCUGUAAAUAAAAUCGACUACUAAGACGAACAUGAAACCGGUUGGACACCAAUAGUGAUAA
rnacentral:rRNA from 1 species